UCAAUUUAGUAAAUCUAAUAUGGGUAGGAUUGGUUAUAGAUUUUGAUGCCAGUCUUUCAACAAAACGCCAAACUUUCACCCAUUGAUUCUGUUGAAGACCUAAUAGGUAUGUUCAACAUUUGGUAACCACAACCUCAAUCUAGGCAUCUCUAUUUCUAGGAUGAUACCCAUCGUAUAGUCAACCUUACAUUUACCCUUAUGUCUAAGAUAUUAAAAAUUUGCCAACCUACACACACAAUUGUCUAUCAGUCCUUUGG
rnacentral:lncRNA from 1 species